rnacentral:rRNA from 2 species
AUGGACGAAAGUCUGAUGGAGCAACGCUGCGUGAGUGAAGAAGGGUUUCGGCUCGUAAAACUCUGUUGUUAAAGAAGAACAUAUCUGAGAGUAACUGUUCAGGUAUUGACGGUAUUUAACCAGAAAGCCACGGCUAACUACGUGCCAGCAGCCGCGGUAAUACGUAGGUGGCAAGCGUUGUCCGGAUUUAUUGGGCGUAAAGCGAGCGCAGGCGGUUUUUUAAGUCUGAUGUGAGAGCCUUCGGCUCAACCGAAGAAGUGCAUCGGAAACUGGGGAACUUGAGUGCAGAAGAGGACAGUGGAACUCCAUGUGUAGCGGUGAAAUGCGUAGAUAUAUGGAAGAACACCAGUGGCGAAGGCGGCUGUCUGGUCUGUAACUGACGCUGAGGCUCGAAAGUAUGGGUAGCAAACAGGAUUAGAUACCCUGGUAGUCCAUACCGUAAACGAUGAAUGCUAAGUGUUGGAGGGUUUCCGCCCUUCAGUGCUGCAGCUAACGCAUUAAGCAUUCCGCCUGGGGAGUACGGCCGCAAGGCUGAAACUCAAAGGAAUUGACGGGGGCCCGCACAAGCGGUGGAGCAUGUGGUUUAAUUCGAAGCUACGCGAAGAACCUUACCAGGUCUUGACAUACUAUGCAAAUCUAAGAGAUGAGACGUUGCC